rnacentral:rRNA from 1 species
AUGUUUGUUAGGCAUAAAGAGAAAGAUAAUUUUCAUGUGAGGCUGCAAGUUGAUGUGCUUGAGCAGGCAUUUGGACCUAGGAUGGCGGGUGCAACAUCUCGGGGAGAACCAAGUUGUCGUAAUGGCAUCUCUAGCCAGAACAGUUCAGUUGGUGCACGGCGACGUGGUGGCUCGACAAGUGUGGGCAACAGCAGUAGGGUCCCCCUUGAAGUGGAGCCUGAUGGCUACAAUUCUGGGGUUGAUGAAGAGAAGCUAUAUUCUGAUGUUAUUCAGAAUUUACGACGGGCACCUCGAACUGAAAAUCAAGAUGAGGCUCACAAUGCAGUCCGUGUGGAUGAUGACGCGAUGGGUGAGGACGAAGACCUUGCAGCUGUUGAAUGGGACCCUUUGAACCCUCAUAUGGAAGAAGGUACAGUUUUUGCAUCCAUGAAUGAGUGUAGAAAUGCACUUGUGACAUACUGCAUCAAGGUAGAACGUACUUUCAAAGUUGACAAGGGUGAUCAAGUACGUUACAGAGUGCACUGUCCGACUGAAGGUUGUCCAUGGAGGCUGCUUGCAUCUAAAAUGCGGAAUAGCACUAAUGUUCAGGUCAAAGUGAACCCUUUUAAGCACACAUGCCAGGAAUCAACCCUUAGGAAGGAUACAAUCAGUAGAGCCAAGUCAAGAUGGGUGGCAGAAGAAGUAAAGAAGUGGGUGAAAGAAAACCAGCAAGUGGGUCCAAAAGAAUUGCAGAAGAACAUCAAAGAUAAGUUCAAGAUAGAUUUACCAUACAUGAGGUUGUUCAAUGGUAAACAACAUGCUAUGGAUUCUAUUUAUGGUAACUGGCAGGAAAGUUUUCAAUUGUUGUAUUCAUUCAAAGGUGAAGUGGAGAGGACAAGCCCAGGUAGUAUUAUAGAUAUUGAUCACCACACCGUGGAGUACACAUUCAGGGGAGUGACAAAGACCAAGGAAUGCUUUAGGAGGGUUUUUGUCUGCUUUGAGGCUUGUCGCCGGGGUUUUUUGGCAGGCUGCAGGCCUUAUUUGGCUAUUGAUGCCACUUUUCUCACAGGGAGGUUUAAAGGACAGUUAGUAGCAGCUUGUGCAGUUGAUGCACAUAGUUUUGUAUUUCCAGUUGCCUAUGGUGUGCUGGAGACAGAGUCUGAGGAGAGCUGGACUUGGUUUUUGCAUAAUCUCCGCCGGGCUAUUGCACAUCCCAAUGGGUUGGUCAUUCAUACAGAUGCCUGCAAAGGUUUAGAAGUGGCCGUGGAUAAUGUGUUCCCUGGAGUAGAGCAUAGGGAAUGCAUGCGUCACCUUGCUGCAAAUUUCAUGAAGAAAUUCAAAGAAAAGGUGUAUACCGACAAUUUAUGGCCAGCAUCUUUGACAUGA